rnacentral:lncRNA from 1 species
AGCUGACAGUAAUUUUUGCUUCUUUAAGAAAAUAUAUAUGCAAACUGCAGCCCGUCACCAUGGUUACUGCUGAAUGCUACCGAGAAUAGCUCAUUUCACAUUCGCAGACCCAUAGGGUUCGGGAGCCGCAAUUAUUUUGGCCUUUCACCAUUUCCCCUCGAGCUAGGCCACCGUCCCGCCGUUGCACAGAGCAUGUUGUAAUUAGCCCCGCGCCGCCGGGCCCGGCGCGGAGGAGGCGGUGGCUGCGCCGUCGCAGCGCUGGAGCCGUGCUCAGACGAAAGCCACGCAGGAGGCGAGGCAGGUCGGCACCGGGCUGCCCCCGACGGCCGCGCCGCUGCUGGGCCCCGCUGCUCGAGCGGCCGCCGCCGCCGCUUUUUGCCUUGCUUGCUGCCCGCCGCACCGCCACGACCGCCGCUAGCCCCGGCGCCCCCGGCCCCCCCGCCGCUCCCCCCCCCCCGCNNNNNNNNNNGCGUGGUGCUACUAGCCCAGCUGGCUGCCGGUUAGGAAAUAAAACCCGCGUCUUUCUUAGAAAUCUGCGCGGCGCUUCAGGGCUCGGAGCAGCGCCUGCAGCCGGAGCUGUCUGCCCGGCAGGACGGGCUGGGACCAAGGCAGUUGCCUCGCCUUGCAGAGGGGAUGCCGGGCUCGCUCGUGCUGCUCCGUGGGGAAGUGCUGGCGAUGGGAGGGAUCCUGCUCCAGGGCUGCUGAGGGAAGCGGGCGCUGCGUGAGGAAGGGGGUGGCUGUCAGGGGAGUGGAGCCGUUUGCCUUGGUGUGAUUGCAGCGAGGUGGAGGGGAGCACUUCCAGGCUGACCCUGCGUACCCAUAAGGCGGCUGUGGCAAUGGGGUGAGGGCUGGCAGGAGGCCCCGGUGCUCACCUUCCCGGAGGAAAUUUUAGAGGUUUCCUGGAGGAAAUGUUUAAGGUUAAACAGGGAGGUUUCUGCAUCGCAGGAGCCUGGCAGGUUUUCGGCCACUUGUAGUAACGGUGCCUGGGGUGGGGAGCUGAAGCACCCUCACCUUGCACAGCUGCCUGUGCGGCCCUACAACACCCCUUAGCGCCCUCCCCUCCAUCAGUGGGGUGGCUGCCAGGCAGGUUGGGGGCCUUGGGCUUUGCUGGGAGCUCCGUGCACAGCGGGAGCCUGCAGAGCCGAGGCGAAGGGGAGUGUGGUGGCCGAGGGCUGCGUGCCUGCGUCUGCUGAGCUGGGUGUGCUGAGCAGGGGGGUGAGGGGCUUUAGGGCAGCUGCAGCAUGCGGCGUGCUGGCUGCAGUGGUGCUUCCACCGGCAGGAAAGUGGGUAGGAAGGUGCUUCCAUCUCCGGCUGGAAAAAGGGCAAAGCAAAGGAGGGGAAUUAAAGGGAGGUGAGGGAGACAAACAGAGGAAAGGCAGAGCUCAGAGGGAAACAGUGCUGCUGCACAGCCUGACAGGCACUGGGGGAGAAGCGGCUGGGCACGGUGAGCAGGCAGGUGGGGAGGGAAAGGGAGAGUAAAGUGAGAUGGAGAGGGGGAUAUUCAGGGAGCUCGAGACCGAGAAGGGGAUAUUCAGGGAGCUCGCUGGGCCCAGCAGCACGGAAGGGCUCUCACACAGCCCGAGGACACGUGUUUGGUCUCAGCUCCUGGCAGCUCUUCGCAAGACCGUGUUUGUGGCUGGGGACGAGCAGGGUUCUGCUGGGGCUUCACCUGUGUGAGCAGGGAGCAAACACAUGGACGGAUUUUUAGUACUGGUGUGGAGGAGAUGCGGCUGCUGGGCGCCUGCCGUGUGGCUUCGCUAAGGCACCAAGAGUCCAAAGCGAGGCAGGGACUGGCUCCAGUAUCGCAGGCCGGUCCUGAAGAUUCUCAUAACGCCUCUCACAGUUACCACAUGCUUAUCCCUGAUGUGCUUCUGAUGGUUUCAGGUGUGUGCUGCCCCAGUGAGGAGGCAAUGAGGAAAGGAGUGCAGCGUGUGCUGAGGCUGUAAGGCUCGGAGCUGUGUUGUACCUGGCACUGCACAGCCAGACGUGAGGAGCGGGCUGUGCGCUGUCCCUGUACCCACACAGCGUCCCUACAGGGGCAUAGUACACACCCUGUGUUUUGUAGGUGCCUGUGGAAGCAGUGCAGGAUGGCGCUGGCUGCCACUGACAUGAAGGGCUCCCAAAAUGUGGGCAGGGCGAUGCCAAACUGUUUGGAGGUGCGUUGGUGUGCGCACUGCUGUCCGAGGGGAAACAUCCCUGCAAGUACUUUAUUGUUGACUUUGUGUGUUCCUCUCCCUUAUUAAGUGCAGCGGUUUGAAAAAUGGCUGAGCUUGCCAUUAAUCUAAUUUAUUCCACGUGACAAUUUUUAAAAAUUAAUCUCUGUGGUGUAAUUAUGCUGUCAGGACGACUUGCUCAAUUUUCUGCUUUAUCCACCACAGAUUCCAGUAACUUCCUAGAACCGAGAUGCUCCUUUCCCGGCGGUUUUUCCUGCCCGCGUGUGGAUGUGUUGCAGUGAAGCCGUUGUUUGUGGUGCCUUCCCCCGGGUUGCUGUGUGUGCAGGUGUUGCCUGCUGAGCCUGGCCUCGCUGCGCAUCCCAGCAGCUGCACCCUGCUGCCCGCGGCCGCUCAGGUCUUGUCAGCCCGCUGGGUGUCUGUCGUGCCUCUGGGUCUGUGUAAAAAGGAGCCUUCAGGGGCAUUCCAGCGGCUGGAAAGGCCGUCUGUGAAUUGAGAAAGUCUGCUUUGUGCUUAUACAAAUUGAGAAACCAUCGGUUGCUAAAAAUACCCCGCGUUUAAUCUGUGAGCCUUGCUCGGCGCUGCCGGGCGUCCCCGCGCUCCGGGCACAGCUGAAGGGCAGGUGUCCAGCGCCGUGCUGCUGCUGCUGGCCCAGGCGUUGCUCCAUUUAAAUGACCCUUAAUUAAAUGUUACCAGGUGACUACCGAAGGUUUGUUUGGAUUAUCUGAGGAAUUACUGCGCUCACCUUGCCUGUAACAUCGCUGGAAAAUGUUCUUGGCCCCCAGGAGCUGGGAAGUGCCGGGCAGAACGGGGCAGGCAGCAGCGCAGGGCCCGGGGCAGGGCCAGGAGGUGUCUGGGGCCUGCUGCAGGGCCGGGGCUGCUGACAGCGCCCAGGGGCAGGGUAGGGGCAGGCAGG